rnacentral:lncRNA from 1 species
UAAAAGCAGACCCGCCUGGGAACCAGAGAGAAUUGAGGCCGUCUAAACAGGAAGGGAGGAAGGAGAGAGGAAGAGACAGGGCACAGGGGAGACUAGGGGUGAAAAAGCAACCGCUAAGGGAGAGUCUGACGCAGGGGUGAGGGGUGGAGAUGAGGAAAGGGAGCUUGGAAGAGAAAUUGAGGAAGGACGGGUCAGUGGGAAGACUGAAGGCUAUUGCAGGACUUGAACUAAGAGCUGAAAAAGAACAGAGGAGGAAAAAUCACUACUCUUUGAGUAUUGGAAAAGAUCUACCCGGGAAACUGCAUAAGACUACUUGGAUCCUACCAUCCGUGAGGCUGCAACCCAGGGGUCUUGAAGUCGUUUUCUUUCUGGAUUUCUGGCUGCAAUCCAGUGACACCUGACGGGGGUGGCGAGGGGGAUCCUGAUAGCUGAUUGGCCGCGGCAAGGAUCCUGAAGGAGGCCGCGGUCUGCCAGUGCACCCAGGCCCCAGCUGUGACUCAGCCGCCGCUCUCCAGCACCGGGAGAGGGAACUCUCCGCCCGCCCGCGGACCCACCCCCGGCGCGAGCCGUGACGUCUCCCGGAAUUCACAGCUGCCCUCUCUCCCCGCUGGGCUCCCCCCAUCGGCACGCAGGAGGCUCUUCUGUCGCAGGCGGGAGCUGAGAGCAAACUGCCGGGGUCGUGCACGACUCCCCGGGGCUUCCCGCAGAAGCUGAUUGGCAAGGGGGGGUGGGGUGGGGUUCCGGCAGCCGUUGGUAACCCCCGCCCUGUCCCCUCCGCCUCCGCCCCAGUAAGAGAGGGCUGUAAAAUUCCGGAAGAGAGAUUAGAGGCAGGGGAUGGGUGGGGCAGUGAAUCAGUACAUUCCUUUCUCCCCCUGCCUCCUCCUGCCCUGUUAUCACUUUGGGUGGGUUGGGUCCUCUUAUGGCCUUCUCCUGACCGGUCCACUGGCAGGGUCCAGACAAGCUAAGCAGUGCUGGGCGGGAACCUCCCAAACUCAGCUGAACUUUGUAGAGCCUGGAUCACUUACUUUGCAGUUCAUGACCCCAUUUGGUUUCGGGUUGGGGAAUUUUGGUCCUUGCUUCCAACUGGGUCCCUUCCACAAGAGUAGUUCUUAGGCCUGUCUGUGCAUUUGUUAGUAGCUCCCAUUAAUUGAGCAAGCUCUUGCUCCGAGGCAAGGUCUGUGCUAGGUCAAUCAGUCUUAUGUUCCUAAAACUUUGCAAGGUAGGCAUACCUUCUCUCCUGUUAGAAGCCAGGACUCUGAAAGCUCAGAGAGGUUAGGUAACUUGCUCAAGGUCACACAGUGGCAAAGCCAGGAGUAGUCCCAGCUCUAUUAGUUCCAUAAAUUUUCCACCACACUCCGUGGCUUCCUUUAGCACACUGAAAGGCAACACUUAUUAGGGGGUGGCGAAGUAACAUCUAUGGACCACUUCCCACUGUGCUAGGUACUUUAAAUAUAUUGUCUUUAAUCAUUUACUUUUUUCACAACAACCCCCUGAGAGAGAUACGAUCACCAUGCCCAUAUUACACAGGAGGAAACUUUCGUUAGGAAUUUCAGGGGCAGAGCUGGGAUUCCUGUACAGUCAUAGUACAAAGCCGCAGUUAAUGUUUGUAUAGUGCUUGACAGUUUCCAAAGCCCUUUCAAGAUCUUCAUUUCAGUCUAUCCCAUUUCACAG